rnacentral:rRNA from 1 species
GGGUGCAAGCGUUAAUCGGAAUUACUGGGCGUAAAGCGUACGUAGGCGGUUGAUUAAGCAGGAUGUGAAAGCCCCGAGCUCAACUUGGGAACUGCAUCCUGAACUGGUCAACUAGAGUACAGCAGAGGAGAGUGGAAUUUCUCGUGUAGCGGUGAAAUGCGUAGAUAUGAGAAGGAACACCAGUGGCGAAGGCGACUCUCUGGGUUGAUACUGACGCUGAGGUACGAAAGCGUGGGGAGCAAACAGGAUUAGAUACCCUGGUAGUCCACGCCGUAAACGAUGAUAACUAGCUGCUUGGGCUCAUGGAGCUUGGGUGGCGCAGCUAACGCAUUAAGUUAUCCGCCUGGGGAGUACGGUCGCAAGAUUAAAACUCA